rnacentral:rRNA from 1 species
UACGUAGGGUGCAAGCGUUAAUCGGAAUUAUUGGGCGUAAAGCGCGCGCAGGCGGUCCUUUAAGUCUGAUGUGAAAGCCCACGGCUCAACCGUGGAGGGGCAUUGGAAACUGGGGGACUUGAGUGCAGAAGAGGAGAGUGGAAUUCCACGUGUAGCGGUGAAAUGCGUAGAGAUGUGGAGGAACACCAGUGGCGAAGGCGACUCUCUGGUCUGUAACUGACGCUGAGGCGCGAAAGCGUGGGGAGCGAACAGG